UACAGAGGUGGCAAGCGUUGUUCGGAAUUACUGGGCGUAAAGGGCGCGUAGGCGGUCUUUUAAGUCUUGUGUGAAAUCCCUCGGCUCAACUGAGGAACUGCACGGGAUACUGGAAGACUUGAGUUCGGGAGAGGGAAGCGGAAUUCCGGGUGUAGCGGUGAAAUGCGUAGAGAUGUGGAGGAACACCAGUGGCGAAGGCGACUCUCUGGUCUGUAACUGACGCUGAGGAGCGAAAGCGUGGGGAGCGAACAGG
rnacentral:rRNA from 1 species